CCUACGGGAGGCAGCAGUGGGGAAUAUUGGACAAUGGGGGCAACCCUGAUCCAGCCAUGCCGCGUGUGUGAAGAAGGCCCUCGGGUUGUAAAGCACUUUCAGUGAGGAAGAACGCCUGGUGGUUAAUACCCAUCAGGAAAGACAUCACUCACAGAAGAAGCACCGGCUAACUCCGUGCCAGCAGCCGCAGUAAUACGGAGGGUGCGAGCGUUAAUCGGAAUUACUGGGCGUAAAGCGCGCGUAGGUGGCUUGAUAAGCCGGUUGUGAAAGCCCCGGGCUCAACCUGGGAACGGCAUCCGGAACUGUCAAGCUAGAGUGCAGGAGAGGAAGGUAGAAUUCCCGGUGUAGCGGUGAAAUGCGUAGAGAUCGGGAGGAAUACCAGUGGCGAAGGCGGCCUUCUGGACUGACACUGACACUGAGGUGCGAAAGCGUGGGUAGCAAACAGGAUUAGAUACCCGAGUAGUC
rnacentral:rRNA from 1 species